GUAACUGCAAAGCUGUGUCUUGACACAGUACUGAUGCAUUAGCUACAGGUACAGGGGUUGAUAACCACCAGUGGUGCUGCAGCGUGACUGCAGGUGCCCCAUGCCAGUAAAAAGUUACGUAAGCUCCUGCUCUUCUAUCCCAGAGUGGCAGCAGCCAUGUAAAAUCACCACAUAUAUUCCUGAUGAGCAUUCUAUGGCUACAAGGUUUAUGGCAUUGUGAUGUUAGCAGUUGAAAGUUUGUGAUUAUGUCCAAAGAUCUGCCGGUUUUGGAAUUAAUUUCAUCAUGCGCUCUGAGGUUCAGUUCAAGUGGGACUUUCAGGACUUUGACAACAUUAAGGACGUCUGACUGCCCUACAUGCUUCCAAGUUUUGGCUCCGCCGUCAAUGCACAAGACAGAUACGAUGGCACUGUUAGCACUGACCUAGAAAGAACAGCAUCUAGUCUAAGGAAGAUCCGGUGAGGAUCCCGAUGGUCGGGAUCCCGGCAGCCAAAAUACCAAUGCUGGAAUCUCGUCACUGCUCAGAAUGCCAGCGCUGGCAUCCUGACUGGGAUCACAAUCCCUGCGCCGGAAUACUGACUGUUGGGAUCUGCCAGCCUGCAAGAGAGAUUGCUGAAAUGGAAAUCCUAUUACAGUAACAUAAGAAGGAUCAUGGAGGAGUGACACAACUUCAGAAUUGGUUGAGGUCUGUUUGAGUCUGACACAAAUUGCCAGCAUCUGCCAACAUCCAUGGAUGCAAGUUUUUGUACAUUAUUUUGUGUCUGUUCGUGUAUAUGAAUAUCCAUCCUUCUUCAUGCGUAUACAUCCUGGCCACAUCUGUUACCGUCAUCAUUAGUAAAGGCACGUACACCCACACUAUGCUGGGUGCAAAAGAUCUAUCUGGAAAGGCAUCCCUUCUAUGUGCAUACUCCUCAAACGAGCAUGGACAUCUAGCUAAAUGGCCACAACACUUCCAGAUAUUUUCUGUGUGUCUGCAUGGUGGCCACACAGAAAGGCCCAUUUCAUGGACAGAGCCAUCUGGCCAGACAAGGGGGGUAAUUCCAAGUUGAUUGC